CACGUAGUUAGCCGAUGCUUAUUCCUUAGCUACCGUCACUUUCUUCUUCACUAAGAAAAGAAGUUUACAAUCCGAAAACCGUCUUCCUUCACGCGGCGUUGCUGCAUCAGGGUUUCCCCCAUUGUGCAAUAUUCCCCACCGCUGCCUCCCGUAGGAGUCUGGGCCGUAUCUCAGUCCCAAUGUGGCCGUUCAACCUCUCAGUCCGGCUACUGAUCGUCGACUUGGUAGGCCGUUACCCCACAACUAUCUAAUCAGACGCGAGCCCAUCUUUCAGCGGAUUGCUCCUUUGAUAUCAAACCGAUGCCGAUUCAAUAUAUCAUGCGGUAUUAGCGACCGUUUCCAGCCGUUAUCCCCCUCUGAAAGGCAGGUUGCUCACGUGUUACUCACCGUCGCCACUAAGUAAAGCUCGCACUCCGAAGAGAUCUAAGCAAGUAACUUCGUUCGACUUGCAUGUGUAGGCACGCCGCCAGCGUUCAUCCUGAGCCAGGACUCGAAAUCU
rnacentral:rRNA from 1 species